GAUCCAAGGACGUUAAAUCCAUGUAAUUUUAAUAUUUGGCCACCUGCAAACUCAUCCCAUAGGCUAUUUGUUCCCUUUAGGGUUUCCAUAGUACACUUCAUUUCCUUUAAGAACACGGAACUGGGAUGCAGUGGAUUGCGGGAAGGGGGGGAAUCACGAUGUCAGCUUAACAUCGUGAUGUCUGUCAGCCAUCGGCGAUGGACGAUAGAACCCAACCCAAAUGACCACUAGGGAUGGGCGAUAUGGGCUUUAAAAUGUAUCAUGAUAAUUUCUGAUAUUUAUUGUGAUAACGAUAUCAAUGACGAUAAAUUAGGGUAUCCUGUUUUUUGUUUUUUUUAGAGAAAAGUAUUAUAUUUCCAAUUUUACCCAAAAUAGGGUGUUGUGAGCAGUACACACAACUGUUUAAUACAUACUGGAAGCUGGAGGACGCCCUCCCACAGAAACUCCACAUAUGCAUAGUAGAAGUAAUGCUCCAGGAAAUCACUAAUAUGGACAGAAGUAUCCAGUGAUCGCUGUAGCUGAAUAAAACGCAGAUAGAGAAAUCUUUACUGAGCAAACCUGAAGACAAUAAACAUGCGAUUGGACAAAAUACAUGGUCUGUGUUCUUCAAGCAAUCUUGGGUAUUUGUAAAGCGUAUUCAUAAUGCAAUGGUAAUCGACAUAGCCUUUUUCACUGUAUAUAAUUCUAUAAAAUAGUAUGAUUUCUGCCUUAUUCUGAUACGAAAGCACAUCUGAUCUCAAAAAUAAGUUAUUGCAAACACUCGACUAUGUUAUGAAGUUAAUAUGGAGAAAAAGCACGUCAAUAAAUAAUAUCUUUGUUGGACAACAGGUUUGUAACCGACUCAUACACAUGUAAAACUGUAUUGCACACGUGCUACUGUAGUACACUUAUUCAAGGCUCAGACCGAUUUUUGUCGCACUGUACAGUGUUAUCCAAACCUGUUCCAGAUUGUAGAAGGAGCUUCUCAAUUUCAUGUUCGCCUUCCUUCACAUCACUCCACACAGUCGCACACAGAAAUAUGUGAACAACUAGAUUUUAUCAUUAUUAUCGCGGGAAGACUAAUUCUUAUCAUGGGGAGAAUUUUAACCGGUAUAUCGCAAACGAUGAGAUAUCGCCCAUCCCUAAUGACCACUAUUAAGGACUGUAAUAUAACAAUUAUAUUACAAUACACUCCAUUACAUUAUAGACAGAACAAGCCCUUUAGCCCAGAUUCACUUUUUUGCAAAGGUUUGUAAAAACAAAACAUGAUGAGUAGCACGUAGCGGUCACAUCAGUCAGCUAAGGCUUGCACUUACGCAAGCGUUUUGAGCUAAGCAUCUACAACUAUUAAUGAAACUGCUUUGCAAAGUGCCUAGAAUGCUUCUCCCACCACCAUGACAUGGACAAAGUGUUUUAAAGCUAAACACAAACAGGUAAACAGCAUGUUGAACUUGCUGGCACAACGUAUCUUUAGGGAGGAAAGAAGGAGAUAAUGAUAAUGUUGAGUACAGUACACAUUUCCCUAUAUUUAAAGGUGAGUUAGUUCUUUGCACAGUGCAUUGCUCGACAUCUUUUCCUCAUGUUUUCUCAAUGCCAGACUGAUUUGUCAGUUUAGUUAAGCUGCAAUGCGUCAGCCUAAUUCAAACAUCCUUCAGCUCUGAGGUUCUCCUAAACCCUCUCAAAUAAGCACCCCAAUUACAGCACUCAUAUUCCCUGCCAAGAUUACUCUAUCUUCAGAUACACUAUGCUUCUUCAAGUCCCUGUCGGAAAAUUUAACAUCUGACCGUGACCGAGCAGAGAGCCCUGUACAAUUCAAGCAGAACUAAUUGGUUAGUUGUUACACAGCGAACAAUAUUUUUUUGUACAAAAAGGUCUGGUGUCUGGAACAUAUAACAGUCUUCACUACACAAUCCAAAUUUCUUAGCCAAAUUCCACAACUAUGUCAGAAUACCCUAAAUGGAAUUUAAGUCUUGCAGAAGUGGGCUAACUUUGCAUUA
ensembl:lncRNA